rnacentral:lncRNA from 1 species
GAGAAUGCAGCAGGCUUGAUAGAGUGUUUGGCAAUUAUAAAUGGAGGAUCAACUGGAACCAGGUGGUCAGUGGUUAUGAUGUACCAUUAAUUUCAGACCAUAAUCCAAUGAUACUAACACUGAAAGCAUCCUCCUGGCAAAGGAGAGGAACUUCAAAUUCUUUAAUGUACGGGCUGAACACAAAGAUUUCCAACACAUUGUGACAACAGUAUGGCAGGAUGGGAAGACAGAUACCAUGAGAACAAUAUGGGACAAACUCAAAG